rnacentral:lncRNA from 1 species
GGGGUGAAAGUAGACCUAAUAAUAUCCAUCUAGAUCCAUUUUCAUGUCCGAAUUUUUUUGAAUAUAGAUACAAAUUUAAGUAUUCAACUAAUUAUUGAAAAAAUAUCUUGAGAUUCGGUCUAUAAUAAAUCUAAGACAAGGUCCAGGACAACGAACGAAAUCCAACGAGUCCAAGAACAGCCCAAAUGGAGUCCAGAUGGAGAAGAUAUGCACGAGAGAAGGUCGAGAGCAGUUGGUAUGGCCCACG